rnacentral:tRNA from 1 species
GCGGUGGUGGCGGAACAGGCAGACGCGUACGUUUGAGGGGCGUAUGGGUUGUCCCGUGUGGGUUCAAGUCCCACCCGCCGCACCA